UCGUCACCCAACCAGUCCAAUGGAUCACAGUGGACCGAACCAAACCAAGUCACAGAGCGAGUUCAGUGCCAUUAGGCAAACUGCCACCGAGAACAUUUCCACAAACUAUUCCCCAUACCGUCCAUAAAAGUGGUUAAAUAUGUAUAAACACACAGAACACUUCACAUAUCUGCCGGCGAAACACGAGAAUAUUUAUUGCGUAGGAAACCCUACCGAGAUGAUGCUGAAUGCGGCACACUUCAAAUUGCGAUUCGGUUGGGAUCGGAAAUCGAAAAGGGGACAGGAGAGGUGGCUAAAGGGGAUUGGAGCAGUCUCGAUGGCUGGUGAUGAGGUUCCAAGUUUAAUGGUUGCAGAAGAAAAAGUUUAAGAUGAGAUUGCAUUUGGAAUUGGACGAGCCAGCGAGGCAGGUUUCGCUCUAGAUUUACGUAAAGUACCCGACUCGAAGGACACGAAUCACACUUGCUUGCGCCGCCACUUCCGAUUCGUUGGAGAACUCAGCGCGAACUGAGAUCCGAUGAGAUGAUGGCUUGGCCACAAGGCUGCAAAGAGACUGGUUUCCCAUGCGAUUUUCGCCACCAUUUGGCAGUAAUAAAGAGGCAACAGCAGGAGCGGCAGUAACUGCACUAGCGACGACCACGUCGACCAAGUCCUGAGCGCCCGAACAGCUGACUUUUUCAGCCGGUUUUUGUUAACGGCGAAUUCGGGGGUCAGAAAGAGAGUUAAUCGCAAGCUCACUCUUCAAGAGCAACGAACAAAGUUCUCUAAGCAAAUACACAUUUAAAAACUGGUUGAAUUUGAGUGAAUUGUGCAUAGUAAAUUUAAC